AGAGAAUGGAGGAGAGAAUGGAGGAGAGAAUGGAGGAGAGGAUGGAGGAGAAUAGAGGAGAGAAUGGAGGAGAGAAUGGAGGAGAGAAUGGAGGAGAGAAUGGAGGAGAGGAUGGAGGAGAGAAUGGAGGAGAGAAUGGAGGAGAGGAUGGAGGAGAAUAGAGGAGAGAAUAGAGGAGAGAAUGGAGGAGAGAAUGGAGGUGAGAAUGGAGGAGAGAAUGGAGGAGAAUAGAUCAGAGAAUGGAGGAGAAUAGAGGAGAGAAUAGAGGAGAGAAUGGGGGAGAGAAUGGAGGAGAGAAUGGAGGAGAGAAUGGAGGAGAGACUGGAGGAGAGAAUGGAGGAGAGAAUGGAGGAGAGAAUGGAGGAGAGAAUGGAGGAGAAUAGAGGAGAGAAUGGAGGAGAGAAUGGAGGAGAGAAUGGAGGUGAGAAUAGAGGAGAGAAUGGAGGAGAGAAUGGAGGUGAGAAUGGAGGA
ensembl:lncRNA